rnacentral:pre_miRNA from 14 species
GUCUAGGACCCCUGGGUGGUCGCGCAGAUCCCGGACGAGCCCCCAAUGAAAAGACCCCCGAAGGGAGCCCCCACUCAAGUCUCGGGAAAGACGCUACUGCUG